rnacentral:rRNA from 1 species
GAUGAACGCUGGCGGCGUGCCUAAUACAUGCAAGUAGAACGCUGAAGGAAGGAGCUUGCUCUUUCCGCAUGAGUUGCGAACGGGUGAGUAACGCGUAGGUAACCUGCCUGUUAGCGGGGGAUAACUACUGGAAACGAUAGCUAAUACCGCAUAACAGUAGAUGUUGCAUGAUAUCUACUUAAAAGGCGCAUUUGCACUACUACCAGAUGGACUUCCGUCGUAUUUACUAGGUUGGUAGGUAACGGCCUUCCAAAGGGAAGGAACAUAGGCGAACUGAGAGGGGGAUCGGCCACAACGGGACCGGGACACGGCCCCGACUCCUUACGGGAGCAACAGUAGGGGAACUUCGGCAAAGGGCGGAAGUCUGGCCGAGGCACGCCGCGGGGGGGAAGGAGGUUCUCGGGUCGGAAAGCUCUGUUGUAAGGGGAGAACGAGUGUGAUAAUGAAAAGUUCACGCUGUGACGGUAUCUAACCAGAAAGGGACGGCUAACUACGUG